rnacentral:tRNA from 1 species
GGGCCUGUAGCUCAACUGGGAGAGCGCCUGCCUUGCACGCAGGAGGUCGUCGGUUCGAUCCCGAUCAGGUCCACCA